rnacentral:rRNA from 1 species
UAGGGAAUCUUCGGCAAUGGGGGCAACCCUGACCGAGCAACGCCGCGUGAGUGAAGAAGGUUUUCGGAUCGUAAAGCUCUGUUGUAAGUCAAGAACGGGUGUGAGAGUGGAAAGUUCACACUGUGACGGUAGCUUACCAGAAAGGGACGGCUAACUACGUGCCAGCAGCCGCGGUAAUACGUAGGUCCCGAGCGUUGUCCGGAUUUAUUGGGCGUAAAGCGAGCGCAGGCGGUUUGAUAAGUCUGAAGUUAAAGGGCUGUGGCUCAACCAUAGUUCGCUUUGGAAA